AGCCUUCUGUAUCCGGGCUGAGACUUUGUCACAGACCAGACCACAAGAGCUGAUGAGACUUCCCAGAUAAGUAAAGUG
rnacentral:pre_miRNA from 1 species